rnacentral:rRNA from 1 species
AUGGCACCGGCUGAAUUGUUCUCCUUUUUUGGUACCAAUAAUAAUACAGCACCGCGGCUGUUGUUGGUGGCUCAUGUCUCUGCUCGGUCGCAAAAUAUCGUUCACAUGGAUCUAUCUAGGCUCAUCGCCGUGGCCGUGCUCCUCGGCGCCUUGCGCCCGCUCCUGAGCCACUGCGCCGGCGACGUCGAGGGCCUACACCCGCUCGUGCUGGUGCCAGGGUACGGGUCCAACCUGCUCGAGGCGCGGCUGACGGCGGCGUACGAGCCGCCGGCGCCCGGCUGCGGUAAGGGGAAUGGGUGGUUCCGGCUGUGGCCGAUCAAGCAGACGGCGAUGCAGGACCCCCGCCAGGUCCCGUGCUUCGUGGACCAGAUGAGCCUCGUCUACGACGCCGUCGCCGACGACUACGGCAACGUUGCCGGCGUCGUGACCCGGGUCCCGCUCUUCGGCUCCACGCGCGGCUUAAUUGGGUGGGACCCCCUGCUGCGGGAGCUGGAGGCCGCGGGCUACCGCGACGGCGAGAGCCUCUUCGCCGUGCCGUACGACUUCCGCUACUCCGUCGCGCCGCGCGGCCACCCGUCCGCGGAGGGCGCCUGCAACUUCGACGAGUUCACGCGGCUCGUCGAAAGGGCGAGCUCGCUCAGCCAGGGACGGCCGGUCGUCGUCGCCGCGCACAGCUUCGGCUGCGCGCUCACCUACCAGUUCCUCCUCGGCCGCCCGCUCGCCUGGCGCCGGCGCUUCGUGAAGCGCGUCGUCUUCGUCGCCUCCGCGCUCGGCGGCUUCUCGGAGGGGAUGAACGACCUGGCCGCCGGCACGGACUACGGCCUGCCGAACGUCGCGCGGCCGGCGAGGGUCCGGCUGGCGCGGAGCCAGCAGAGCGCGCUCUGGCGCCUGCCCACGCCGGCGGUGUUCGGGGACCGGCCGCUGGUGGUGACCAAGAACGCGACGUACACGGCACACAACAUUGCGGAGUUCUUCGAGGCCGUCGGCUUCCCGGAAGGGGUCCGGCCGUACGUGACGCGGGUGCUGCCAGCAUGGGAGGCGCUGCCGGCGCCGAUGGUGCCGGUGACCAGCAUCAUCGGGGUCGGCGUCAGCACGCCGGAGACGUUCGUGUACGGGGAAGACGGGUUCGCGGGGACCCCGGAGGUGGUGUACGGCGACGGCGAUGGCGACAUAAACAUGGUGAGUCUGGUGGCCAUCGAGAAGGAGUGGUCUGGGGUGGAAGGCCAGGUUCUGACGGUGGUCAGGUUGCCCGGCGUUCGUCACGAUGGCUUCUUCAGCGUUGGUUUCGCUCUGGAAAAAGUGGUUGCUGAAAUACUCGAGGCUGCUGGAACUAUAGAACUCCAUCCGAAGAUUGGCCGAGUGCAGAUCGAUGCAGGUCCCGUCUGGAAGGAAGAUAGAUGUAGAGUGCACGAAGGCCUUUAUAAUGCUUCGAGUAAUGCGUUUUUGGAGGUGCUCUGA